UACGGGGGGGGCAAGCGUUGUUCGGAAUUACUGGGCGUAAAGGGCUCGUAGGUGGCCAACUAAGUCAGACGUGAAAUCCCUCGGCUUAACCGGGGAACUGCGUCUGAUACUGGAUGGCUUGAGUUUGGGAGAGGGACGCGGAAUUCCAGGUGUAGCGGUGAAAUGCGUAGAUAUCUGGAGGAACACCGGUGGCGAAGGCGGCGUCCUGGACCAACACUGACACUGACGCUGAAGCGCGAAAGCUAGGGGAGCGAACGGG
rnacentral:rRNA from 1 species